AACGAACGCUGGCGGCAUGCCUAACACAUGCAAGUCGAACGAGACCUUCGGGUCUAGUGGCGCACGGGUGCGUAACGCGUGGGAAUCUGCCCUUGGGUUCGGAAUAACAGUUAGAAAUGACUGCUAAUACCGGAUAAUGUCUUCGGACCAAAGAUUUAUCGCCCAGGGAUGAGCCCGCGUAGGAUUAGCUAGUUGGUGAGGUAAAGGCUCACCAAGGCGACGAUCCUUAGCUGGUCUGAGAGGAUGAUCAGCCACACUGGGACUGAGACACGGCCCAGACUCCUACGGGAGGCAGCAGUGGGGAAUAUUGGACAAUGGGCGAAAGCCUGAUCCAGCAAUGCCGCGUGAGUGAUGAAAGCCUUCGGGUUGUAAAGCCCUUUCGGCGGGGACGAUGAUGACGGUACCCGCAGAAGAAGCCCCGGCUAACUUCGUGCCAGCAGCCGC
rnacentral:rRNA from 1 species